AACCAUAUGAAGAGUUGAGACACUCAAAGAAUACUGAUGUAAAUUGUUAUCCCUUUAGGAUUUAAACUUUCACUGUUGGUUUUAUCCCUUACUCUUGUGGAGACAGCAAAGAGAAACUGUGGCAGCUGCUUUUAUGAGCUCUCAUAGUGCCACAAAUGCUUCAUUCUUCACAGCAUUCUCUGGUAGGAGCAGUGGCAUCAGGGGAGGUUCUCAUUAGCUGCACUAGGUCUGGCACCACGGAGCAGGAACCCUAUGGACUCAUUGCUGUCGAGUCUCUCUCAUGCUACAGCUGCCCCGAGGUGGGCUUGGGUGAGUCACAGUUCUAAAUGCUUCAGAUGUUUGUGGAAGAGGAACUGCUGAGGAGCAAAACCUUUUGCUGAAGUCUAGGGAAAGCAGGAGGCUCCCCCUUCCUGAUGCUGCAGCAGUAAAUUGAAAGAGCUUUCAGAUUUCAGACCCAGAUGAGGAGCAAUGAGGACUGUGGCCCUGGCUUUAAAUAAAGCAGAUGCUUAUUUCUGAAAAACUGUAUUCAACCAUCAAGCAGCAGCUGGAUAAAAAAGAGACCAACAAUAAGCUGUGAGAGUGAUCAGCUGCCAAACAAGCGUGGUCUAAGCAGAUGUAAAAUAAUCUGUUCAGUCUGAAAAACACCAAGAGAAGAUCCAAGGGAUCAUUAAAAAGGAAAUGAUCACUUAUUUGCUGAUCACUUAUUUGCCGCUGGGUAUUUCCACGAGUGUGGGUCUGUAAGAGCUGCAGAGGCUCAUAUGUGGCUUUGCUGAGGGCUGAUCUCCCUUUGUGGCAGAAUGGUGCUCUGGAGCUGCUGCAGGAAAUGUGUGCAUUUGCAUGGAGAAGCAGAGAAAAGUAUGCAGGAGAGCUCUGAAGGAAACCCAAUGCCAUGAUGCCAGCAUGCUGCUCAUGUUAUUGUGUGAUCAGUUUGAUGAAGGAAAAAGCAGAGUGUUUGCAGUCUUCAAAAAGAGGCAUUCAUUGGCUCUUAGCCACUCUUCAGCGCAGCACUACUUGCCCUUCGAUUGCUAUUAUGUACAGCAUUGUUGUUAUUAUUAUCUACCAGGAUUAUUGCUGCUCAGACAUGAGAUGAGCUGUGUUAAGUGCUGUCUGCUACAGACUAAUGUCCUUGCAUUUGCAAAGAAUAAACCAACAACUGGCAAACAUGCAAAGACCGUCCGUCUUCCACUCUGGAUAAAUCACUUGAAAUUAAAGCAUGUUUCUUUGGUUUGCUUUUUUAAAAAGAUCUUAUACUAGCUUUGCUUUUCAAAUGUGUUUUGAAGAGGAGGCCAUCAUUAGGGAAUUCUGUAUGAGUUUAUUUUAUGUUUGUUUAUCAGAUGUUUUCUGUAAGAAACUGCUAAUUAAUUGCUGAUUGAUAAAAAUUAAAUAGGCAGCUAGAAUUCCCUGAAGCAGCAAGCAGCAGCUGAAUCCAGAGCUUUGGGGAAGAAGCUUUUCCAGGGACUGGAGGUCUAAUGAAUACAUUGACACAGCAGGUCAAUUGCUUCUGCUCGUGUGGAAUUUUGUUCAUUGCUCUAACACUGCAUAAACUCUGUGAAAGACACCAGUGCCUCCUUAUAUAUUGUCAACCCCUGAUGUUUCUACUCUCAUCCACUCCAGUACUUUGCCUCUGAAUAUGUCAGCACUUUGAUAAAAAUUUGAUUUUUAUGUGAUUUGUUAGGUGCUAUCAUUUUGAUUAUUUGGUCUAAUUUAUCAAAUUAAAAUUUACCAUUAAAAAUGGGCCCAGCCAGUUAAAAAUGGCUGAUCUCUAUACUGUGACAAAAGAUCUUCCAGAGGUACAAAGUUCACCUAAUAAUAAAAGGACUUGGGUUGGGUUGUUUGUUUUUUUAAAUCCUCUUUCCCUCUUCAGUAGAAUAAAAUUACAUGAAGUCACUCCUUUAAGUGAGACUCCAGAGGGACAGAAACCUUUACAAGAACAGCUGUUCCUUUAGUGCAGAAACCUCUGCCAAAUAAAAUCAUGGGCUCAAGCUCUUUCUUUUUGGCUUAAUAAGAAUGAAAUCAGUGCCAUGCCAAAUUGUCACAGGUUUAUCAGCUGUCCUGAAAAUAAAUUUUCUUAUUAAGUGUCCAUUUUCUGUUUGCAGGAAGUAUUUUGGUUUUUAGGAAAACAAUGGAAAGCAUUGUUACCCUAAAACCUAUUCAACUUUUUAUCCUAAAUCCUGUUCACCUUUAAAAAAUAUACUGGAGGCACCUCUUUUUCCUCAUCUAUUUUAAGAUUUAAAUUCCAAGAGGACCUAAUUAUGUGCUAAAGUCAUGCAGGUUGCUACCUACAUGUAAGUACUUUGAAUAAAGAUGUAAUUAUGUACGUAUUGCAUAUGUAAUUAUGUUCUGAUAGGAUCACAACCAAAAUGUGCAUGUGUUCACUUCCAGAUUUUUAAAUGAAAGUGGAUAAAUGAAGGAAUGAUAAGGCAUGACACUUCUUUGGAGGUGUAUGGGUGAUUUUUUUUCCCAAUUUGGUAACUGAGCAAAAGAAUAAUUCCGGAAGAUCUGACCUGAAAAGUAACUCUAAUAAAAUUUAACUCUUUAAAUGGAAAUGUAAACUGUCUCCUACCUUCUUUUUUUUUUUUUGACUUUCAA